AGGUUAAGCUGUAAAGAGCGCAGGGAGGAUGCCUUGGCACUAAGAGCCGAUGAAAGACGUGAUAAGCUGCGAAAAGCUGCGGUGAGGAGCAAAUAUCCAUUGACCCGCAGAUGUCUGAAUGGGGAAACCCGGCUGAGCAAACCUCAGUCACCGUAUACUGAAUCCAUAGGUAUACGGAGGGAACCCGGUGAACUGAAACAUCUAAGUAGCCGGAGGAAGAGAAAGAAAAUUUGUCGAUUUCCUAAGUAGCGGCGAGCGAACGGGAAAGAGCCCAAACCGGAGUGCGUGCAUUCCGGGGUUCGGACUGCAGAAUCCACAACCAAGCCUAACAGAACGGUCCUGGGAAGACCGGCCAGAGAGGGUGAAAGCCCCGUACGUGAAAGGCAAGGAAGGGAGGCAGGAUCCAGAGUACCACGAGACACGAGAAAUCUUGUGGGAAUGAGCGGGGACCACCCCGUAAGGCUAAAUACUCCUUAGUGACCGAUAGCGCAUAGUACUGUGAAGGAAAGGUGAAAAGGACCCCGGGAGGGGAGUGAAAGAGAACCUGAAACCCUGUGUUUACAAGCUGUGGAAGUAUCAUCAGGAUACAACCGCGUACUUUUUGUAGAACGGUCCGGCGAGUUACGUCGGCUGGCGAGGUUAAGCACUAUAGGUGUGGAGCCGAAGGGAAACCAAGUCUUAAUAGGGCGUCCAGUCAGCCGGAGUAGACCCGAAACCGGGUGAUCUAUCCAUGUCCAGGAUGAAGUUGCCGUAAAAGGCAAUGGAGGUCCGAACGCACAUCUGUUGAAAAAGGUGGCGAUGAGGUGUGGAUAGGGGAGAAAUUCCAAUCGAACCCGGAGAUAGCUGGUUCUCCUCGAAAUAGCUUUAGGGCUAGCCCUGUGACAGUCAGACGGAGGUAGAGCACUGAAUUUCCUAGGGGGCGUCAAAGUCUACCGAAGAAUAUCAAACUCCGAAUGCCGUAAUGAUGAUUCACAGGAGUCAGACUGCACGAGAUAAGUUGGGUAGUCAAAAGGGAAAGAGCCCAGACCUACAGCUAAGGUCCCAAAGUGCGUGUUAAGUGGAAAAGGAUGUGGGAUUUCGAAGACAACUAGGAUGUUGGCUCAGAAGCAGCCAUCCAUUCAAAGAGUGCGUAAUAGCUCACUAGUCGAGAGGUCCUGCGCCGAAAAUGUCCGGGGCUAAAACACGACACCGAAGCUUAGGAAUACAUGCAAAUGUAUUGGUAGAGGAGCAAUCUUAACGGGAAGAAGCAGUACUGUAAGGUAUUGUGGACUGUUAAGAAGAGAGAAUGCCGGAAUGAGUAGCGAGAUGGAGGUGGGAAUCCUCCAGGCCGAAUAUCCAAGGUUUCCAGGGUAAAGCUGAUCUGCCCUGGGGAAGUCGGGGCCUAAGGCGAGGUCGAAAGACGUAGCUGAUGGACAACAGGUUGAUAUUCCUGUACUAUCAUAUGACAGAACUGUGGGGACGCAGAAAGAGAGCCUGAGCCGGGAAAGGGAAAACCGGUGCAAGCGGGGUAGGAGUCGUGCAGGCAAAUCCGCACGGCAAUCCGAAGACGUGAAGCGGAGCGAACUAAAGUAGCGAAGCAGGUGAGCUGGCUGCCAAGAAAAGCCGCUAUUGUUCAUAUGAUACCCGUACCGUAAACCGACACAGGUGGAUGAGGAGAGAAUCCUAAGGCCGGCGGGAGAAGCAUUGUUAAGGAACUCGGCAAAAUGACCCCGUAACUUCGGGAGAAGGGGUGCCUGCGAGAGCAGGCCGCAGAGAAUAGGCUCAAGCAACUGUUUAGCAAAAACACAGGUCUAUGCGAAACCGAAAGGUGAGGUAUAUGGGCUGACGCCUGCCCGGUGCUGGAAGGUUAAGAGGAGAUGUCAGGAAACGAAGCAUUGAAUUUAAGCCCCAGUAAACGGCGGCCGUAACUAUAACGGUCCUAAGGUAGCGAAAUUCCUUGUCGGGUAAGUUCCGACCCGCACGAAAGGCGUAAUGAUUUGAGCGCUGUCUCGACAAUGCACCCGGUGAAAUUGAAGUACCAGUGAAGAUGCUGGUUACCUGCGCCAGGACGGAAAGACCCCAUGGAGCUUUACUCCAGCUUGAUACUGGGAUCCGAUGCUGUAUGUACAGGAUAGGUGGGAGGCUAAGAAGCGGUGACGCCAGUUGCCGCAGAGCCGAUGUUGGGAUACCACCCUUGCAGUAUUGGAUUUCUAACCAGCUGCCGUGACCCGGCAGUGGGACAAUGUCUGGCGGGGAGUUUGACUGGGGCGGUCGCCUCCGAAAGGGUAUCGGAGGCGCUCAAAGGUUCCCUCAGGAUGGUUGGAAACCAUCCGAAGAGUGCAAAGGCAGAAGGGAGCUUGACUGCGACACCGACGGGUGGAGCAGGUACGAAAGUAGGACUUAGUGAUCCGGUGGUAUUAAGUGGGAAUGCCAUCGCUCAACGGAUAAAAGCUACCCUGGGGAUAACAGGCUUAUCACUCCCAAGAGUUCACAUCGACGGAGUGGUUUGGCACCUCGAUGUCGGCUCAUCGCAUCCUGGGGCUGUAGCAGGUCCCAAGGGUUGGGCUGUUCGCCCAUUAAAGCGGUACGCGAGCUGGGUUCAGAACGUCGUGAGACAGUUCGGUCCCUAUCCGGCGCAGGCGGAGGAUAAUUGAGAGGAGCUGCCCUUAGUACGAGAGGACCGGGGUGGACGGACCGCUGGUGUAUCUGUUGGCUACCAAAGCCAUGGCAGAGUAGCCAAGUCCGGCAGGGAUAAACGCUGAAGGCAUCUAAGCGUGAAGCCCCCCUCAAGAUGAGUUAUCCCAAUAAGUAAGACCCCUUAGAGAGUAUGAGGUAGAUAGGUUUGAGGUGGAAGUGCAGUAAUGCAUGGAGCUGACAAAUACUAAUCGGUCGAGGGCUUAUCCUGA
rnacentral:rRNA from 1 species